rnacentral:rRNA from 1 species
GAUGAACGCUGGCGGCGUGCCUAAUACAUGCAAGUCGAGCGAACAGACGAGGAGCUUGCUCCUCUGACGUUAGCGGCGGACGGGUGAGUAACACGUGGAUAACCUACCUAUAAGACUGGGAUAACUUCGGGAAACCGGAGCUAAUACCGGAUAAUAUAUUGAACCGCAGGGUUCAAUAGUGAAAGACGGUUUUGCUGUCACUUAUAGAUGGAUCCGCGCCGCAUUAGCUAGUUGGUAAGGUAACGGCUUACCAAGGCGACGAUGCGUAGCCGACCUGAGAGGGUGGUCGGCCACACUGGAGCUUAGACACGGUCCAGACUCCUGCGGGAGGCCGCAGUAGGGUAUCUUCCGCAAUGGGCGAAAGUUUGACGGAGCAACGCCGCGUGAGUGAUGAAGGUCUUCGGAUCGUAAUGCUCUGUUAUUAGGGAAGAACAAAUGUGUAAGUAACUAUGCACGUCUUGACGGUACCUAAUCAGAAAGCCACGGCUAACUACGUG